AUUGAACGCUGGCGGCAGGCCUAACACAUGCAAGUCGGACGAGUGGCGGACGGGUGAGUAAUGUCUGGGAACCUGCCUGAUGGAGGGGGCUAACUACUGGAACCGGUAGCUAAUCCCGCAUACCAUCGGAUGUUCCCAGAUGGGAUUAGCUAGUAGGUGGGGUAACGGCUCACCUAGGCGACGAUCCCUAGCUGGUCUGAGAGGAUGACCAGCCACACUGGAACUGAGACACGGUCCAGACUCCUACGGGAGGCAGCAGUGGGGAAUAUUGCACAAUGGGCGCAAGCCGGAUGCAGCCAUGCCGCGUGUAUGAAGAAGGCCUUCGGGUUGUAAAGCACUUUUAGCGGGGAGGCGUUACCCGCAGAAGAAGCACCGGCUAACUCCGUGCCAGCAGCCGCGGUAAUUC
rnacentral:rRNA from 1 species